UUACACUCCAAACCCAAUGUGAACGUUACCAAUCUGUUGCCUCGGCGGGAUUCUCUGCCCCGGGCGCGUCGCAGCCCCGGAUCCCAUGGCGCCCGCCGGAGGACCAACUCAAACUCUUUUUUCUCUCCGUCGCGGCCUACGUCGCGGCUCUGUUUUAUUUUUGCUCUGAGCCAUUCUCGGCGACCCUAGCGGGCGUCUCGAAAAUGAAUCAAAACUUUCAACAACGGAUCUCUUGGUUCUGGCAUCGAUGAAGAACGCAGCGAAAUGCGAUAAGUAAUGUGAAUUGCAGAAUUCAGUGAAUCAUCGAAUCUUUGAACGCACAUUGCGCCCGCCAGUAUUCUGGCGGGCAUGCCUGUCCGAGCGUCAUUUCAACCCUCGAACCCCUCCGGGGGGUCGGCGUUGGGGAUCGGCCCCUCACCGGGCCGCCCCCGAAAUACAGUGGCGGUCUCGCCGCAGCCUCUCCUGCGCAGUAGUUUGCACACUCGCACCGGGAGCGCGGCGCGGCCACAGCCGUAAAACACCCCAAACUCUGAAAUGUUGACCUCGGAUCUGGUAGGAAUACCCGCUGAACUUAAGC
rnacentral:rRNA from 1 species